CCUACGGGGGGCUGCAGUGGGGAAUAUUGCACAAUGGGGGAAACCCUGAUGCAGCGACGCCGCGUGAGUGAAGAAGCGUUUCGGCGCGUAAAGCUCUGUCAGCGGGGAGGAAACACGGUUCGCGAGAGCCGCGGACGGUACCCGACCAAGAAGCCCCGGCUAACUACGUGCCAGCAGCCGCGGUAAUACGUAGGGGGCAAGCGUUAUCCGGAUGCACUGGGUGUAAAGGGGGCGUAGACGGCGAGAAAAGUAUGGAGUGAAAGGCCGGGGCCCAACCCCGGGACUGCUCGGGAAACUGCCUGGCUGGAUGACAGGAGAGGGAAGUGGAAUUCCUAGUGUAGCGGUGAAAUGCGUAGAUAUUAGGAGGAACACCAGUGGCGAAGGCAGCUUACUGGACUGUGACUGACGUUGAGGCCCGAAGGCGUGGGGAGCAAACAGGAUGAGAUACCCGUGUAGUC
rnacentral:rRNA from 1 species